rnacentral:rRNA from 1 species
UACGGGGGGGGCAAGCGUUGUUCGGAAUUACUGGGCGUAAAGGGUUCGUAGGUGGCCUACUAAGUCAUACGUGAAAUCCCUCAGCUUAACUGGGGAACUGCGUCUGAGACUGGAAGGCUUGAGUGCAGGAGAGGAACGCGGAAUUCCAGGUGUAGCGGUGAAAUGCGCAGAUAUCAGGAAGAACACCAAUGGCGAAAGCAGCUUUCUGGGACGGUACUGACGCUGAGACGCGAAAGCGUGGGGAGCGAACAGG